rnacentral:rRNA from 1 species
GACGUAGGGCGGCGAGCGUUGUCUGGAUUUAUUGGGCGUAAAGAGCUCGUAGGCGGCUUGUCGCGUCGAAUGUGAAAACCCACGGCUCAACUGUGGGCUUGCAUUCGAUACGGGCAGGCUAGAGUUCGGUAGGGGAGACUGGAAUCCUGGUGUAGCGGUGAAUGCGCAGAUAUCAGGAGGAACACCGGUGGCGAAGGCGGGUCUCUGGGCCGAUACUGACGCUGAGGAGCUGAA